AAACACUGUCUGCCCAGAGGAAGAGGAGGGAAGACUAUUUGAGGAGGUUGGAGGAGGAGCAAAUGUUAAAGCCCUCUGCUGAAGCCUGCCCUUCAACUUUAAAAGGUCACACCAAGCUCCCACAACAAGCUUCGGCCCCUCACACCAG